rnacentral:rRNA from 1 species
GACGAACGCUGGCGGCGUGCUUAACACAUGCAAGUCGAACGGAAAGGCCCUGCUUUUGUGGGGUGCUCGAGUGGCGAACGGGUGAGUAACACGUGAGUAACCUGCCCUUGACUUUGGGAUAACUUCAGGAAACUGGGGCUAAUACCGGAUAGGAGCUCCUGCUGCAUGGUGGGGGUUGGAAAGUUUCGGCGGUUGGGGAUGGACUCGCGGCUUAUCAGCUUGUUGGUGGGGUAGUGGCUUACCAAGGCUUUGACGGGUAGCCGGCCUGAGAGGGUGACCGGCCACAUUGGGACUGAGAUACGGCCCAGACUCCUACGGGAGGCAGCAGUGGGGAAUAUUGCACAAUGGGCGGAAGCCUGAUGCAGCAACGCCGCGUGCGGGAUGACGGCCUUCGGGUUGUAAGCCGCUUUCGCCUGUGACGAAGCGUGAGUGACGGUAAUGGGUAAAGAAGCACCGGCUAACUACGUGCCAGCAGCCGCGGUGAUACGUAGGGUGCGAGCGUCGUCCGGAUUUAUUGGGCGUAAAGGGCUCGUAGGUGGUUGAUCGCGUCGGAAGUGUAAUCUUGGGGCUUAACCCUGAGCGUGCUUUCGAUACGGGUUGACUUGAGGAAGGUAGGGGAGAAUGGAAUUCCUGGUGGAGCGGUGGAAUGCGCAGAUAUCAGGAGGAACACCAGUGGCGAAGGCGGUUCUCUGGGCCUUUCCUGACGCUGAGGAGCGAAAGCGUGGGGAGCGAACAGGCUUAGAUACCCUGGUAGUCCGCGCUGUAAACGGUGGGUACUAGGUGUGGGGUCCAUUCCACGGGUUCCGUGCCGUAGCUAACGCUUUAAGUACCCCGCCUGGGGAGUACGGCCGCAAGGCUAAAACUCAAAGGAAUUGACGGGGCCCCGCACAAGCGGCGGAGCAUGCGGAUUAAUUCGAUGCAACGCGUAGAACCUUACCUGGGUUUGACAUGGAUCGGGAGCGCUCAGAGAUGGGUGUGCCUCUUUUGGGGUCGGUUCACAGGUGGUGCAUGGCUGUCGUCAGCUCGUGUCGUGAGAUGUUGGGUUAAGUCCCGCAACGAGCGCAACCCUUGUUCACUGUUGCCAGCACGUUAUGGUGGGGACUCAGUGGAGACCGCCGGGGUCAACUCGGAGGAAGGUGGGGAUGACGUCAAGUCAUCAUGCCCCUUAUGUCCAGGGCUUCACGCAUGCUACAAUGGCUGGUACAGAGAGUGGCGAGCCUGUGAGGGUGAGCGAAUCUCGGAAAGCCGGUCUCAGUUCGGAUUGGGGUCUGCAACUCGACCUCAUGAAGUCGGAGUCGCUAGUAAUCGCAGAUCAGCAACGCUGCGGUGAAUACGUUCCCGGGGCU